CACGUAGGGCGCAAGCGUUGUCCGGAAUUAUUGGGCGUAAAGAGCUCGUAGGCGGUCUGUUGCGUCCGCUGUGAAAACUCGGGGCUUAACCCCGAGCCUGCAGUGGAUACGGGCAGACUAGAGGUAGGUAGGGGAGAAUGGAAUUCCCGGUGUAGCGGUGAAAUGCGUAGAUAUCGUAAGGAAGACCAGUGGCGAAGGCGGGUCUCUGGACAGUUCCUGACGCUGAGGCAUGAAGGUCAGGGGGAGCAAACGGG
rnacentral:rRNA from 1 species